rnacentral:rRNA from 1 species
UCCUACGGGAGGCAGCAGUGAGGAAUAUUGGACAAUGGUCGAGAGACUGAUCCAGCCAUGCCGCGUGCAGGAAGACGGCCCUAUGGGUUGUAAACUGCUUUUUUACGGGAAGAAUAAUGCCCACGUGUGGGCAGAUGACGGUACCGUAGGAAUAAGGACCGGCUAACUCCGUGCCAGCAGCCGCGGUAAUACGGAGGGUCCAAGCGUUAUCCGGAAUCAUUGGGUUUAAAGGGUCCGCAGGCGGGUCAGUAAGUCAGGGGUGAAAGUUUGCGGCUUAACCGUAAAAUUGCCUUUGAUACUGCUGGUCUUGAGUUGCGGUGAAGUGGCUGGAAUAUGUGGUGUAGCGGUGAAAUGCAUAGAUAUCACAUAGAACACCGAUUGCGAAGGCAGGUCACUAACCGCCGACUGACGCUGAUGGACGAAAGCGUGGGGAGCGAACGGGAUUAGAUACCCCGGUAGUCCACGCCGUAAACGAUGGACACUAGCUGUCGGGCCGAUUUAGGUUCGGUGGCCAAGCGAAAGUGAUAAGUGUCCCACCUGGGGAGUACGUCGGCAACGAUGAAACUCAAAUGAAUUGACGG